GAUCCUGACUGGGAAGGGCAAGCGAGAAAAGAGACGUAGAAGAGGAGAAUGGAAAAAGCUCCAGUGGCUUGCUGUAACUAUGCCUCUUUUGCAGACUUUCACAGAACACUCUGAAAUUUGGAUGCUCUGAGGUGUGGUCACCUGAGUUCUCAACAGGAAACUAAAGUAGAACUCUGGAUGUUACAAGUACAGUAACUAUUGGAUAGUGCAAACAGAAGAAGUGGCAGCCUUGUUUGGAGAGCUCUCAUGAAAAGUGCUAUUUGCUCUUGUUGGAGCAGACGAGCAGACAAUCAGACCGAAAUCCAAUUUAAGAUAAAACUCCAACUGAUAUUUCAUGGAAAUAUCUGUCUGAUUUGAAGAACGAAAGAAGGCUGAAGAUUCAAGGCUGUUCCAUCACCUCAUCCUUCCAUCUCCUGCAGUCAGUAAGAAAGAAAAAAACCCAACCUCUCAAACAUCUUUGCAGACAGCAAGAAUUUGGAAGAAGUGUCAAUUUCCAUCUCUUCAGUGGCAGGCAUUAUCAUCUAGGUGGCAUAUUGGCUCAGUUUAAAUCAUACUGAGAGCUGGCAUUUCCUUUUUCACUACUUCUGCCAUGAAACAAGGAAACAGAAGAGAGGCUCCAGCUGACUACGUGACAUCUUCUGAAUUUGUAUCGUAAUACUCAAAACAUUACAUUCUUACAGUUAAUAAGAUUGUAAAUGUAAACAAUGUGUAAGAGCUGUUGAUAAUUUACUUACACUGUUCCUGAUCAAACAAACUGUUAUCUGAGUAAACCUGAUUAGU
rnacentral:lncRNA from 1 species